CACUUACUACCCUGCUGGUGGCCUCGGUGACUCUCCCUGUCUUUGUGUUGCCACGAUGUCUGCUGAGCCCCAGCACACCUCCGUGACUCGAAAACUCUGCGUAGCAAGGGUUUCUUGACAUACCUGAGGCUUGCUCCUGGCAAAAGUAGAGGUAAUCCUUGUUACUGACCUUUCUGGGAGAGGAAGGAGGUUACUUCAAUCCAUCAGGAUUUAAGAAAUGUUUGUGCUACAAUUCCAUCUUUUUCACCUCUGCCAAUCACUUCAGCAAAAGAUUUUACGUCUUCAUACAACCAUGCUAAUGCUGUCCUGCUCUCGUGAUUGCACCAGCGAUAUCAGUACAGCAACAUAUUCAGUAUAAUAAUCGUGCAUAGUCCCUUAAGAAGAAUUACGAUGGAAGAAACUAAUCGGAAUUUUGCAGGAGCUUGUUACUCACAAUCAAUGUUAAAUAUAGACGUCUUAAGCUCAACAGCUGAAA